GUGAGGAUAGCUCAGUUGGGAGAGCGUCAGAUUGAAGAUUACGUGUUUAAUCCACGUUCAUCGCA
rfam:Gossypium raimondii Chr09_contig_1724, whole genome shotgun sequence.